CUGGUCUUGGGUACUGUAUAAAACCUACAACUACUAGCAGGGUGACCAGACUGGUCUUGGGUACUGUAUAAAACCUACAACUACUAGCAGGGUGACCCCCUCCCUCCCCCUCCACACAGGUAUGUUUUCACUUUUCUGAAUAUUGUCAAAUAAGACACAGCCUAAACAUUGCUAUGACAGAUUUGAAUGAAUCCCAGCCUUAGUGUCCUUAAUAGUCAAUAAGUACACACUACUAUGUGUCCUACUGCCAUCACUAGUCACAAAGGGUAGUAGAGGAUAUUAUAUAAAUAUUCCAACAAAUAGACUACGAUUCAUUCAAAUGAAAUGUCCCAGAUGUUCGUGAGAUGUUCACUGUCAACCCUGUUGAUUUGAUUGAAUUCCAGCCAUAUUACCAGCAGAUGUAUGGCUGAAUGAAUGAUAGGUAGCCUGGGUCCCUUCACAGACUGUAGAGUAGCGCCCAAUCCAAAAUAGACCCCUGGACACUUCUCCCCUCACCAAUGCUCAGGGCCCUUCAUUCAGAUGUCAAACUAUUGGGUUUAAGCAAUGUAGAGCCAUUUGAUGUAGGUGGACUUUCUGGCCAUAUAGUUUACAUUUAUCUAAUCCUUUCAGAUGAGUAGUGAUGUAUAGGGGACAGGGGACAGGGAUUAACUAGAGGUUCUGGUGUACAGUAGACUAGCUAGCUGGGGUCUGUUCAGCGAGGGGACAGGGAUUAACUAGAGGUUCUGGUGUACAGUAGACUAGCUAGCUGGGGUCUGUUCAGCGAGGGGACAGGGAUUAACUAGAGGUUCUGAUGUACAGUAGACUAGCUAGCUGGGGUCUGUUCAGCGAGGGGACAGGGAUUAUCUAGAGGUUCUGGUGUACAGUAGACUAGCUAGCUGGGGUCUGUUCAGCGAGGGGGCAGGGAUUAUCUAGAGGUUCUGGUGUACAGUAGACUAGCUAGCUGGGGUCUGUUCAGCGAGGGGACAGGGAUUAUCUAGAGGUUCUGGUGUACAGUAGACUAGCUAGCUGGGGUCUGUUCAGCGAGGGGACAGGGAUUAUCUAGAGGUUCUGGUGUACAGUAGACUAGCUAGCUGGGGUCUGUUCAGCGAGGGGACAGGGAUUAUCUAGAGGUUCUGAUGUACAGUAGACUAGCUGGGGUCUGUUCAGCGAGGGGACAGGGAUUAUCUAGAGGUUCUGAUGUACAGUAGACUAGCUGGGGUCUGUUCAGCGAGGCUGCAGAUGGAAAACCAUUCAUGACGUCCUGUCUGUUCUGUUCUACACCAUAUAUAUUUCUAAGUAUGGUGUUUUGUAACGUUCCACCCUGCUGAACAGAGACCAGGUGAUGAUGUAAAUACAAUGUAACUACCUCUGAACUAGUUUGUUAUUGUUCCUAUGGACAGGUUGCCUGAAGUCAUGAAAAUGAUGCAGAAGGCCUUACAGUACAGGACACAACAGGUGUAUAACAGUACAGGACACAAGUGUAUAACAGUACAUUAUUCAACUGAUAGUCUGAUAGAGAGGCAUCUAGGUCAGAUGACAAGAAGCUGAAUGUCGUUUGUCUGAGAGGCAUCUAGGUCAGAUGACAAGAAGCUGAAUGUCGUUGGUCAGAUGAAGCUGCCAUGUGGCUCAUUUCAACUAGUUUUGUCUUGUUAGAACUGACCUCAAGUUAAUGCUAAAAUUCGCUAUCUAACAACUGUCACAAUAUAUUUGAAACAAGUACUCAUUCUACACAUGUAUGUGUUCAAUAAACAUUGGAGAUGAAAUAGUUCACGUGUCAGUCUAAGCCAACCCUGUCAGUUUUGCCCCAUAGUUCCACACGUGUCAGUCUAAGCCAACCCUGUCAGUUUUGCCCCAUAGUUACACACACAUCCGUUUUGUUGCUAAAUAACCAACCCUUCUAAAAAAAAACAUUUCCCCUUUGUUUUAGCACAAUACAUAUAAAAUAUAACCUGUAGUUUGUUACAAACUGACUUGUUCCUUUGGAUGUACAUACCUUCUAUUGUUGCUAAAAACGUUUUUAAUUGAAUUAAAUACCUGUUAAAAGUUAUGGUUGAAUAAAAAUGGUUUUAUACGAGUA
ensembl:lncRNA